rnacentral:sRNA from 1 species
GGAAGAUGAAUGACUUUAAUAAAGUUAUCAACAGAAUGAUUAAUUAACGAAGAGAAGAAAAUAUUAGGAAGUGAAGCCAAAUAGAUAAUUUUAGGGACAGUGAGAACACAGAAGAUGUAUUUAGAGAAUACGAGGGUGUUAGAAGUUGACAGAGAAAAUCUACAACUUGGGAGCAAAAAGAUGAAGAUCCAGUUCCAUAGGAAGGAAGAGAAGAAGGCACGUUGGUGUUGAGGGGCAACAAGAUGAACCCACACGGCGGUGGCUCGAGGGCAAAAGGGGUACGCUGAAAAUGCAAAAUCUGCAAUUUGAGGAACUGACGUACGGAGCCUCUCGUUCAAUGCCAGCCAUGGAAAGAUCUUGCACCGAUGUGGGAUCUGCAGUUGCCAAGAAACUGAUAUUUUCUUUCUUUCUUUUGGCGGUGAAGAAACUGAUAACAGUGCAUAUGAUGAACAAGGACGCCCAAGAAGUGGUCGAAGGAUGAUCAACUUCCUCAAUAAACGCAUCAAUUCAGGGCUGAUGAUCUAUACAAAGAAGAUAUGAUUAAUAUCUACACACAUUGAUGAUUUUUAGCUUUCAGUACUGGGGAGACUAAAUAUGAAGAAAAGCGAUAUCUAAAAACG